rnacentral:rRNA from 1 species
GACGAACGCUGGCGGCGUGCCUAAUACAUGCAAGUAGAACGCUGAAGGAGGAGCUUGCUUCUCUGGAUGAGUUGCGAACGGGUGAGUAACGCGUAGGUAACCUGCCUGGUAGCGGGGGAUAACUAUUGGAAACGAUAGCUAAUACCGCAUAAUAGUAGAUGUUGCAUGACAUUUGCUUAAAAGGUGCAAUUGCAUCACUACCUGAUGGACCUGCGUUGUAUUAGCUGGUUGGUGAGGUAACGGCUCACCAAGGCAACGAUACAUAGCCGACCUGAGAGGGUGAUCGGCCACACUGGGACUGAGACACGGCCCAGACUCCUACGGGAGGCAGCAGUAGGGAAUCUUCGGCAAUGGACGGAAGUCUGACCGAGCAACGCCGCGUGAGUGAAGAAGGUUUUCGGAUCGUAAAGCUCUGUUGUAAGAGAAGAACGAGUGUGAGAGUGGAAAGUUCACACUGUGACGGUAUCUUACCAGAAAGGGACGGCUAACUACGUG